rnacentral:rRNA from 1 species
CCUACGGGUGGCAGCAGUGAGGAAUAUUGGUCAAUGGACGAGAGUCUGAACCAGCCAAGUAGCGUGAAGGAUGACUGCCCUAUGGGUUGUAAACUUCUUUUAUAUGGGAAUAAAACGUUCCACGUGUGGGAUUUUGUAUGUACCAUAUGAAUAAGGAUCGGCUAACUCCGUGCCAGCAGCCGCGGUAAUACGGAGGAUCCGAGCGUUAUCCGGAUUUAUUGGGUUUAAAGGGAGCGUAGGUGGAGUGUUAAGUCAGUUGUGAAAGUUUGCGGCUCAACCGUAAAAUUGCAGUUGAAACUGGCAGUCUUGAGUACAGUAGAGGUGGGCGGAAUUCGUGGUGGAGCGGUGAAAUGCUUAGAUAUCACGAAGAACUCCGAUUGCGAAGGCAGUUCACUGGACUGCAACUGACACUGAGGCUCGAAAGUGUGGGUAUCAAACAGGAUUAGAUACCCCAGUAGUC